rnacentral:rRNA from 1 species
AGGUGGGCAGUUUGCCUGGGGCGGUCGCCUCCCAAACGGUAACGGAGGCGCUCAAAGGUUCGCUCAGUACGGUCGGAAAUCGUACGUAGAGUGUAAAGGCACAAGAGAGCUUGAUUGCAAGACAUACAGGUCGAGCAAGGAUGAAAAUCGUACUUGGUGAUCCGGUGGUUCUGCGUGGAAGGGCAAUCGCUCAACGGAUAAAAGCUACCCUGGGGAUAACAGGCUUAUCUCCCCCACGACGCCACAUCGCCGGGGAGGUUUGUCACCUCGAUGUCGGCUCAUCACAUACUGGCGCUGUAGUAGGUACCACGGGUUGGGCUGUCAGCCCAUUACAGUGGUACCCGAGAUGGGUUCCGAACGUCUUUCGCCAGUUCGGUCCCUAUCCGUCGCCGGCGUAGGAAAUUUGAGCAGACCUGUCCUUAGUACGAGCGGACCGGGCUGGACG